rnacentral:lncRNA from 1 species
UAAAAUCAUUUUCAAGUUUAUCAUAUACUUCAUAUUCAGAAGAGGAGACACUUUGUGUUUCAAUACAUACCUCAUCCUUGUGUGCCACAAGGCAUAGGUUUUCAAUAUCACCUUGUCUUUCUUCUUCUUUAGAGCUAAUUUUAGAUUCACUAAAAAUGUUAGUGCUUUCAUAUUUAGCCUCUAGCAUAUUCCAUAUGUCCUUAGCAGUUAUGCAAGAAGAUAUACAAUUAAAAUCAUUCCCAUCUAAUGCACAAUAUAAUAGGUUCAUGGCUUUUGAAUUUUGUUGAGCCAUUUUCUCAUUAUGAUUAGUGUUUGUGUGUGUCCCAUUGACUAUAUGCUCCAUAAAUUAUAAUCAAGUGAUGGUAUAAAAAUGCGCAUGCGUGCUUUCCAAUGUGUGUAGUUUAUGCCAUUAAAUAGUGGAGGUGUAUCAAUUAAUUGUCCCUCUACUAGAAAACUAUCUAUUUGAGUUGUCAUGAUCUUUGGCUCUUAAUUGUGAGAUCAAUAAUUAACCUUAGAGCACCUGCUCUGAUACCACUUGUUGCCCAAGGUGACAAGCCAAGAGGGAGGGUGAAUUGGAUUUUCUAAAAAUUAUGUUCCCUAAUUAACUUUGAAUAGAAUGCAGCGGAAUGAUAAGAUGUUAUUUACUUAAGCUCUAGGCAAUUACAAGUAAAGCAGUGGAAAAUUAAGCUAGAGCAAUUAUACUAUGGCUUUAGGGUGCAAAUGAUUUAAAAUUAACUUAUAGUUGUAUGAUCAAUUUUAAUCUAUGUGAAUGGUAAGAAUGGAGUGGAAGUUAAGCAAGUUCUAUAAAAUCACUUAUAAAUCUAUAGGAAACAAAGCUAGAGAUAUUACACAAUCAAGUAUGAAUGUAAGACAUGAAACACAAGAGAUAAGGCAUCACAAACACAAAGAUGUAUAGUGGUUCGGUGCACCCCAGCACCUACAUCCACUCCCCAAGACCUCUUGGAAAUUUUACUAUAAUCCCUCAUAUUACAGCCAGUUGUUUUACAAGCUCACAACCUAACUUGUUGUUUUCACGAGAUCACAACGAACUCGGUCGGUUUUCACAGGCUCACCAACUAGAACCAACCGAUUGUUUUCCUGGGGUGACAAUCAAACCCAGUUGGUUUUUUCCGGUUCUCCAACCACAACCUUACACAGUUGGUUUUCCCUUUGGCUCACCAACAAACCUUACAAGAUAUUAGAACAAGAGUUUAAAACAAAUACAAGCUUCUUAAACAAGCAGAUAU